CAUACUGAGACCUUGUAUCUUAAAAAAAAAAAGCCGGUUUCAAGUUAUUAGAAAUCACUUUGUAAAAAUAAUUUUUUUAAAAUUGUCUUUAGGAAGUUUAUAAUUUCAAUAAGAUGAUGAAGAUAAAGAACAAUAUGGGUUUGGUUUUCUUUUUUUAUUUCCCCUUUAUAUGAAGUUGGCCUUUUGAUCAUGGAAGCUGGGUCUUUUUUCAUGCUAGAACUGGGGAACAGAGUAGCUUAGGUACUAACAUCAAACAAAA